UACGAAGGGGGCUAGCGUUGCUCGGAAUCACUGGGCGUAAAGCGCACGUAGGCGGAUCUUUAAGUCAGGGGUGAAAUCCUGGAGCUCAACUCCAGAACUGCCUUUGAUACUGGGGAUCUCGAGUCCGGAAGAGGUGAGUGGAACUCCGAGUGUAGAGGUGAAAUUCGUAGAUAUUCGGAAGAACACCAGUGGCGAAGGCGGCUCACUGGUCCGGUACUGACGCUGAUGUGCGAAAGCGUGGGGAGCAAACAGG
rnacentral:rRNA from 1 species